rnacentral:rRNA from 1 species
CUACGUGCCAGCAGCCGCGGUAAUACGUAGGGGGCAAGCGUUAUCCGGAUUUACUGGGUGUAAAGGGAGCGUAGACGGCGAAGCAAGUCUGGUGUGAAAACCCGGGGCUCAACCCCGGGCCUGCAUUGGAAACUGUUUUGCUGGAGUGCCGGAGAGGUAAGCGGAAUUCCUAGUGUAGCGGUGAAAUGCGUAGAUAUUAGGAGGAACACCAGUGGCGAAGGCGGCUUACUGGACGGUAACUGACGUUGAGGCUCGAAAGCGUGGGGAGCA